UACGGAGGGGGCAAGCGUUGUUCGGAGUUACUGGGCGUAAAGCGUGCGCAGGCGGCCCGUUAAGACAGGUGUGAAAUCCCUGGGCUCAACCUAGGAAUUGCGCUUGUGACUGGCGGGCUCGAGUACGGUAGAGGGGGGUGGAAUUCCUGGUGUAGCAGUGAAAUGCGUAGAGAUCAGGAGGAACACCGAUGGCGAAGGCAGCCCCCUGGGCCUGUACUGACGCUCAUGCACGAAAGCGUGGGGAGCAAACAGG
rnacentral:rRNA from 1 species